UUAUGAAUAGGAAACAAGGCAGGAGCAGAGAAAGGAAGAAAGGGAGGCCCUCAGAAAUAAAAAAUCCAAAACUUUCCAUAAAGCCAAACAUGCAGCAAAGUAUACUAAUGUGCCUUUCUAUUCAUUCUUCCCUGAGUUCAUUCACAAAUAUUUAUUGAAUGCCUAGUUCAGCCAUUGUGACUUGUGUUAUGAAGUGUCUAUGAAUGAGAGAACAGGUGUGCAUGGGAUUUCACUCUAGGGGGGAAGGUGGAUGGCAUACAGGUGAUCACAUGUGUGCUGUGUGCUGGCACUGGCAUCUGGCAGAGCACAGGGCCACCCCUUGCGAAGGCGCUGAGGAAGCGUGAAGGAGAUGGUAGAUAAUAGGGACACACGAGGAAAGCAAAGAGGAGGCUGAACAAUCUCCAACAAAAUUCAUCUGCCCUUGUGGCAAGGAACUUCUUAUAAAGACAGAUGUACUCAAGACAUCAGUCACUCUUGAAACCCUCUGAUGGUUUAGUGUGAUGGCAAAUUUUUGUAUCUUUCAUGCACAGCAAUAUUGACAAGCAUCAUUCCUAAACCCCAACAUUGCCAACUCAUUGAUUCAUUUGACACACUCACUCAAGUGCAGGCUGGGCUCCCUGACCUUGGCAUAACACAUGGGUAUCAGGAAGCACUAAGCCUUUGUUUGCCUUAGUUCUGACAGGGCUAUCUGUUGCCUUGCACCUGGCAGCCAAUGUACUAUUUUGCACUAGGAGUUCAGGCUCAAUAGGGAAGAGUGGCAGGGAUAGAGGAUGAAGAGGAAAGGCACUUGAGAAAUUAUCAAGAUAGAAGCACAGGAAUGUAGAGACUUAAUAAGCUACUUGAAAAAAAAAUUGGAAACAGAAAUGCAUUACUGUAUUGACUUACAAUGAAUACAAGCUCAAGUACAAUUACUUUGAACAUCAAGACAGUAAAGAGGAAAACCAAGGUGCUCCAGUAUUCGGCCACACGCAGUCCUUGGAUCUGCCAUUGAAGCAUCCAUCCCUGUGUUACUUUCUCACCUACGUGACCACUCCAGCUUUCACAAUACCAGAAGUGUGGUCAGAGACCCUGACCUCCACAUCAGUGAAAUGGAGUCUUUGUGGUUGUGCUAAUAAGACAGAUGGGUGAGGUCUUUAGCUCACAGACAUGGAGAUACAC
rnacentral:lncRNA from 1 species